AGCCAGCAGCGGAAGGCGCUCAAAGCACUCUCCAAUCUCCAUGGUAUCGACGCGAUUGCUGCGGACUUGUCGGGCGGCAGGAUCACCGUCACCGGCGUGGUCGACCCUGUCGAUGUUGUGGGCAAGCUGCGAAGGUUGUUUGGGAACGCAGAGAUCGUCUCGGUCGAUGUUGUCGGCAAGGAGGAGUCCGAGAGGAAAGGUCCUCCUCCCAAAAUAGUGGAAUGUCCCUAUCCCUAUCCCUUCCCCUAUCCUCCUCCUCCUCCUCCUCCUCCUCCUCCUCCUCGGUACGAGUUUACAGUCGGGUUCUUGCACAGCAUCACAGACAAUUUCUCCGAGGAGCGCAUCAUUGGCCGUGGUCGGCAUGGACUAGUCUACAAGGGAGUGCAGGACAAUGGGGUAUGCAUUGCUGUGAAGAAGCUUCACCUCAUGUCGGGGCUUGACGAUGAGGAAUUCAAAAAUGAGUUUAAUAAUCUUAUGAGGGUCGGACAUCAAAAUACCAUACCGUUGGUUGGUUACUGCCAUCAUAUAGCACAGGUGCUUGUUGAGCACAAUGGAAAGCAUGUUUCUGCUCGAGUAGAAGAAAGAUAUUUAUGCUCCGAAUACAUGGAGGGAGGAAACCUUGACAAGCAUCUUUCUAAUGAACCAUGUGCACUUGCUUGGCACACAUGUUACAAAAUAAUUACAGGGGUAUGUGAGGGUUUACAUUACCUUCAAAAAGGAGUUGAGUAUCCUAUUUACCAUCUGGAAUUAAAACCUAACAAGAUUUUGCUGGAUAACGACAUGAUACCCAAAAUUGGAGGUUUUGGCUUCUCUAGACUCUUUGAUACAACAGAAACCUUCAAUACAUCAGAAGUUGCGCAAACAAGUGUAUACAUGCCACCAGAAUACAUCAGCAAACGGCAAAUCACACCAAAAUUUGAUGUAUUCAGUCUCGGCAUUAUAAUCUUGCAAAUAAUGGCAGGAAAGGAGAGCUACACCAAAUGUGUAGACAUUCUCCCCGAAGAGUUUACUGAACUUGUAUAUGGAUUCUGGGUAAAUAGGAUGCAGGGCACAAUAUCGAAGCAUACUUCACGUGAAGUUAGAACAUGCAUCGAAAUAGCUCUAAAAUGUGUGGAGUCCAGUCACGUGAAGAGGCCUAUUAUAAAUCAGAUCAUACAAAGACUAAACAAGAUUGAUAUUGUUGAGUGCUCAUCUAUAGGUGAGCUAUAUAGGACAAGGGAGUUUGCGUUUGAGUUAUUAGAACGUAUAACAAAUGAUUUUUCUGAUCGGAACAAAGUUGGCAGUGGCGGAUAUGGAGAAAUUUACAAGGGAGUGUUGGACAAUGGAGAAGAGAUUGCUGUUAAGAGACUGCAUCAAAUGGUGUGCAUUGAUGACGAGCAAUUUAAGAAUGAAGUUAAUAAUCUAAUGAGGGCCCAACACAAAAAUAUCAUACAUUUAGUUGGCUACUGCCACCAUACAUCACAAAUAUUUGUUGAGUACAAAGGAAAACAUGUGUCUGCUAGUGUGGUAGAAAGGGCGAUUUGUUUCGAAUACAUGCAGGGUGGAAGCCUUGACGAUCAACUUACAGCUGAAUCCUGCAAACUUGAUUGGGACAAAUGUUACAAAAUUAUAAAAGGAAUAUGUGAGGGUUUACAUUACCUUCAUCAUGUUACUCCCAUUUACCAUCUGGACUUAAAACCCGCAAAUAUUUUGUUGGAUAAGAAUAUGAUGGCAAAAAUUGGUGAUUUUGGGUUGUCAAGACUCUUUGCUUCAGAGCAAACCUAUAUAACAGCAUCCCGAGAUCUUAAAGGAACACUUGGAUAUAUGCCACCAGAAUACAUCAACGGAAAAAAAAUCAGUCCAAAGUUUGAUGUAUUCAGUCUCGGGGUCAUAAUCAUACAAAUAAUGGCAGGAAAGGAGGGCUACUUCAAUUGUCGAGACACCCAUCCGAAAGAUUUUAUUGAGCAUGUACAUGAAAAAUGGCGAGUGAGGCUGCAGGCAACAAUGUCGUCCCAUGUAUCUGAAGAAGUGAGGUCAUGCAUCGAAAUCGGUUUAAAAUGUGUGGAGGAUGACAGAACUCGAAGGCCUGCCCAUAUUGUUAAUCAAUUAAGUAACAUUGGUAUUGCUAAGCAUUCACCAGUAGGAAGAAGUGAGGACACGCAUCGAAAUAGUGUUAAAAUACCCCGCAAAAAAAAAGAAAUAGUGUUAAAAUGUGUGGAGGAUGACAGAACGCGAAGGCCUACAAUAACCCAAAUUGUUAAUGAACUAAGUAAGAAUGGUAUUGCUACAAGUUCAUCCAUCAGCCAGGUACAUAUUCUCUGCUCUGACGGAUAA
rnacentral:rRNA from 1 species